UGGGCAACCUGCCCCUCUCUCUGGGAUAACCCCGGGAGACCGGAGCUAAUACCGGAUACUCCGGCUGGAUCGCAUGGUCCGGCCGGGAAAGGUCCGCCGGAGAGGGAUGGGCCCGCGGCCUAUCAGCUUGUUGGUGAGGUAGUGGCUCACCAAGGCGACGACGGGUAGCCGGCCUGAGAGGGCGACCGGCCACACUGGGACUGAGACACGGCCCAGACUCCGUACGGGAGGCA
rnacentral:rRNA from 1 species